rnacentral:misc_RNA from 1 species
GCCAGCGAGUCCAGCGAACGCAACGUUGAAGGAACACUAUCUCGCCCCCCUUCCCCCUCCACUCUCCUUUCUUUCCCACUCAUACAUCAGCCAGCGACCCUACGCCUCCUCCUCCACCUGCUGUGGUCUUGUUUGUUUCCUCGCUUCGCUCGGCCACUCCCCCACCCCCUGCCCCUUCUCUCUCGUCCGCUCUGCCUGCAGAGCAGCCGAGAAAGCGAGAGGGGGAAGCCAACCGAAACAGAAACCCGAAAGUCUCACCUUACCCUCAUAUCUCCCUCUCCUUUCUCUCGCGCGUGUGCACGUUUGUCUGUGCGCAUGCAUGUGUGCGAGUGAGUGUAUGUGCGUUCUUGUCUUUUUUUUCUUUCCACCUACCCCCCCCCACACACACACAAACACACAUGAAUACGUCUCCCUUGAUUUCCUGAAGGGAAACGCAGAACUCAAACGAAACAGAGAACCCCUCUCCUCGGUCACUUCCUUACUUCUGUUUUAGUUGCUUGCUUGUUCUUUUGCUGCAUGCGUGACUGUGUACCCGUGCCUCCGUCUGAACCUCUUUCUUUCCACAUAUUCAACAAACCAAAACCUCCCUCCUCUUCCUCCGCCUCCCCCCUCUUUGCUAGGAAUUCAUCUCAUACGCUUACAGAAAGACGGCAGAACCCCCGCCCCUUCCACCACCACGACGAAAAAAAAAGUGCACCCGAUACAACCACACACACACACACACACGGGUACACGCACCCGCACGCACGUCCGUACCUACUCGCCAACGCCGCUACCAAUUUUCUUCCCUCCGUUCCUUUUUCUCUGCUGCCCUCCUUUCCCAAAACCGCCGAUCUCUUGAUUCUAAGGUCUUGACUCGCUUCUUGCGGCGCCCACGCCUUUCCCUACCUCGUCUCUCUUCCUGCUGCCGCGUUUGUCCUCCUCUUUCUCUAUCACGCUCGGUCUUUCUCCGUGAUUAAGUUUAUUUCUGUGCUUUCCUGUGCCUCCGUGGCUACUUUCCGUUGUCGUAACGCACCGACCUUCCCCCACCUCUUUCCAACGCAUAGAUACGCCUGCACACUCCGUUAAGUGAGGCAGAAAAAUGAUCACGACACAGAACUACCGCAUCAACGAGAUCUCUCGCUUUCUCAUUCUCGUUGGAGGUCUAUGUGCCAGCGCGUGAAUCUCCACCGUGCACGGCUUCAACAUCUUGAGCGACGAGCUCAUUGAGCUGUUCAACUUCAGCAGCUCUGACUUGACGACCAUCACCAGCGUCGGCGUCGUGGUUGGCUGUGCGACUUUCCCCGGUGGCAUGUUGCUCGACUACGCUGGGCCCGUCCCCCUCCUCAUCUGCGCGACACCACUCACUACAUUGGGUGCAGUCCUCUACGGUCUUGUCUUCAACGGCAACAUCAAGGGUAACGUUCCCACGCUUGCCGUCUUCUGCGCCAUCAUGAACCUUGGCUGCUCCUCCUUCGACACGGGCUCCUUAAUGGCCGUGCUCGGCAGCUUUCCGCUGACGAAGGGCCCUGUUGUGGCCAUCAUGAAGACCUUCACUGGCCUUGGUGCGUCCAUCCUGGCCCUCAUCAACUACAGCUUCUUCCGGAAAAGUGAUGCGCACUACAUGUUCUUCAUGGCAGCGCUUAUUGUCUGCAUAGGCACCGUGGCAGUCAUCUUUAUCCGCUUUCCUCCCUACCACAUCCUUGAUCACGAGAAAACCCGCGUGCCGGAGAAGAUGCAGGUGCGCCGCCGCCUGACGGAGCGCGCCUACCUGACGCAGUACCCGCCGAUGACUCGCUUCUACCUUGGCUUUGGCAUCAUUAUUGCGCUUGUCACCUACCUGACAGUGCAGUCCUUCUGUGUAGCCUACGCAAACCCGAGCGACUCGGCGCGCAUGGGCAACACGGUCGUGAUCAUAGUGCUCGUCUUAUGCCUGGGCCUCAUGGCGGCCCCGCUCCCGUUUCUGGGCGGGAUGGAGAAGGAGCCUAGCAAAGACCUCCCCGACUACCCGGGGGACGAGGUGAUGAGCUUCGAGAACGAGGAUGAGAAGCGUGUGCUGCAGCCCACCGCCGAAGAAAUGGCCGAGGAUGAGAACGCGCUUGGUGAGCUGUACCUGAAGGACGCCCACUGUGAGGUCGACAAAAAGGGAAAGAAAACGUCGGACUCCUCUGAUGAGGUGCUGGCGCACCGGCAAGUCGACUCCGAGGAUGCCGUGAUGUUGGAGGACGAGAACAAGGCGCGCAUGAUGAUUUCCGACCAGGAUCCGCAGUAUCAGACGACCUUCUGGCAGAGCCUCAAGCGCCCCGACAUCUGGCUGUGCUGGUGGAACACGAUGGCGACCUGGGGCUGCGGCAUGGUCAUGGCCUUCAAUUCGGCUCAGAUCUACCAGUCAUUAUCGAAUAAUAAAUACGAAAAAAAGACGAACACGAUGUACUCUGCCAUCAUCAGCGUGGCGAGUGCGCUGGGCCGCCUGUCCAUGGGUAUCCUCGAGUUCAUGAUAAACCGCCAGCCCUCCGAGACGCGCCCGGUCAUCACCAUCGUUUAUCCGGUGGCCUCCAUCUGCAUGGUGGUCGGCCUCAUCUUCUUGCUGGCCCUCCCACUCGAGUCGAAGGCCAUCGUUAUUGGCUUCUUCUUCGAUUCCUUCGGCAACGGCUUCAGCUGGGCCUGCACGGCGCUGACGGUGCGCACGCUGUUCGCCAAGGACAUCGGCAAGCACUACAACUUCAUGUACGUCGGCGCCUUCAUUGCAGUCAUUGCGCUAAAUCGCUUUGGCUACGGUGAGAUGUAUGAUCGUCAGGCAAAGGCGAACCGCGAUGCCGACUUGGCUGCGGGCAGGACCCCCAUCUACCCCGUCUGCGCCGGCAAGAAGUGUGUCGCCAACGGCAUGAUUAUCCUGUUGUGUGUGAACGCAACGGCGAUUGUCGGUAGCACAUGGCUCCAUCUGCGCUACCGAAGGUUCGUUCUCAAGCACCGCGCUGAGAAGGCCGCUGCACGUGCGGAGAAGUGUCGCCGCCUUGAUCAGCAGGUGGCUGGUGCGGUGCACGAGACGAACGUUGGUGCUGCCGUAGUGUGAGGCACGGCAGCGCACGUAGGCGUUUCUAUCUGUGUGCCUCUCUGUAUCAGUCUCUUACACUGUGGCCGUUUAUGCGUAUUUUGCGACUCUGCUUCAACACGUUUUUUCUUUGUGCUAAAGCGUGCCGUCGUGCUCUUUUUUUGGGCGCAUGGCUGCGGGUUCUCUGUACUUCUCCAGAGGCGUGGUGCUGCUGGCCCUUCGCCUCUUUGAUGGCGUCUCUUCGCAGAUCCAGCCUGAAUGGGAAGACGCGUGCGGAAGCGAUGCGCGUCCAUGUGGGGAAAGAGGUGGAGGGAAAAGAAACGAACAUGAGGGCAAGCCGAUGGGCGAGCACGCAAAGGGAGUGGAAGGAGACGGAGGAAGACGCAAGGCCGCUGCACAGGCGUUGGGAAGGAGCAUUUUCGAUUCUUUUUGCUUCUUAACCAGCGGUAUUCUCUAGGUGCGUGCGUGGUGCUUCACCCGUGCCCCAUCCACCCCUACUUUCUCGCCUCUUCGCUUUCUCGCUCCCUCGUUCACUGCCCUCAUGUCUGCCUCAUUCGCUCCCCGCCUUUUAUCCUGCGGCACGCGCGCACGCACACACACAAAAACUGAUACGUCAG